AGUUGUUCGAGGCGGCCCCAGGCAUCGCCAGGUGGCCGCUUAGACGUCAACACCCUCUGUAUAUCUACCGCGUUGCUUUGGCGGGACGGCAGCCAGCAGCCCUGCUGGGAAGCUGUCCGCAGGGCCUCUCCAAGGCCCCGCGAGCGCCCGCCAGAGAACCGUCAAACUCGUGUUAAACCGUGGUGUCUGAGCUUUACAAAGCAAUAAGUUAAAACUUUCAACAACGGAUCUCUUGGUUCUCGCAUCGAUGAAGAACGCAGCGAAAUGCGAUAAGUAAUGUGAAUUGCAGAAUUCAGUGAAUCAUCGAAUCUUUGAACGCAUAUUGCGCCCCUUGGUAUUCCGAGGGGCAUGCCUUUUCGAGCGUCAUUACAACCGUCAAGCUCUGCUUGGUAUUGGGCCUCUGUCCCCACGCGGGCGGGCCUCAAAGUCAUCAGCGGCUGAGAGAACGGCGUUCUAGCGUAGUAGAAAUUAACUCGCCAGGGACCGGCCUCAGGCAGCUGUCAAACCCGCGCCUUUGCGCACAUCUUAGGUUGACCUCGGAUAAGGUAGGGAUACCCGCUGAACUUAAGCAUAUCAAUAAGCGGAGGAAAAGAAACCAACAGGGAUUGCCUCAGUAACGGCGAGUGAAGCGGCAACAGCUCAAAUUUGAAAUCUGGUCCUUUCAGGGCCCGAGUUGUAAUUUGGAGAGGAUGCUUCGGCUGCGGCCCUGGUCUAAGUUCCUUGGAACAGGACGUCACAGAGGGUGAGAACCCCGUACGUGGCUGGGUGCCUACGCCAUGUGAAGCUCCUUCGACGAGUCGAGUUGUUUGGGAAUGCAGCUCUAAACGGGAGGUAGAUUUCUUCUAAAGCUAAAUACCGGCGAGAGACCGAUAGCGCACAAGUAGAGUGAUCGAAAGAUGAAAAGCACUUUGGAAAGAGAGUUAAAAAGUACGUGAAAUUGUUGAAAGGGAAGCGCUUGCAACCAGACUUGGACGUAGUUGCUUAGCCGGGCUUCUGCCCGGUGCACUCUUCUGCGUCCAGGCCAGCAUCAGUUCAAGCGGCCGGAUAAAGGCCUUGGGAAUGUAGCUCCUCUCGGGGAGUGUUAAAGCCCUCGGUGCAAUGCGGCCUGCCUGGACUGAG
rnacentral:rRNA from 1 species